GCGGGAUUCGUAUAAUGGCUAUUAUGUCACCCUUCCAAGGUGAAGAUGCCAGUUCGAUUCUGGUAUCCCGCUCCA
rnacentral:tRNA from 1 species